GAAGUGGGUCUAGGGAUUUCUUUCACUUCCUGCAUACUUAUAUAUAUUUUUAAUUUCAUUCCCGAAUCAAGCCUUACGUACAUAAGAAAAUAGCUCAGAAGGAAAGGCCUGGUUCUGAUCUUACUUACACAGGUGUAAAUCAGGAGCAACUCUUCCAAACUGUCUGCAAUGGGAAUGACUUCCAGGCUGGUGUAUCUUGAUUAGUGCAGUAGACAAAAGGCAGUUUCCAUUCAGUGAUCAGAGUAUUGUUCGAGUCUGCUUGAUUGAGACUUUAAGCUCUUUGAUGAAUGUGGGUGCUUGGAACAGCAGAAGAGGUUCCUGAGGUCUGCCUGAAGGAAAAUGAGUUAUUCCUCUACCUCUGAAGAAAUAAAAACAGAUCCUACCAGCCCUUUGCCAAAUGGACUUCUGUUUUUCUGAAGCACACAACAGCUGGAAUGAAGUUGGAAAGGAUAUUUGGAUUCCAAAGCCUGGAAUGCCUUGCUUCUGCUACUGUACAGUGGAAGCAGCUGCAUUUUGGAAUAUGGCCUUUCCUCAGGCAUGUACGUACACUCAGAUGUCUCAGAACAGCUAUUUUUGAGAGAGAGGUCUGCUCAAUAAGCUUCUGUGGAAACUUUGGAUGCAUUGGUGCUUAUAGGACCAGGAGAAGAACAGGGUCCAGGCUGUUAACAUCUUGUCCUGUGCUUUUUGCUGACUAGGGGAAUGCACUGCAUGUAACCAACAGUAGUCAUCUGCUAAAGGUGAGGGAAUAUAUGAAUCUGUGAGUGAGUUUGAAUUUUUUCCUCAAACGUUUCUAUCUUUUAUGGUUUGAAAUAAUUGUGAAGGAUUACUAAAACUCCAUGAUUAAGAGAAAGUUAGAAAGACUUUUAUUCCUUUACCUUGCUCAUAGGUUACUUUAGAUAGCUCAGCAAAGCUCAUAAUCAGGUUUCCAAGCUACUUUUGUUACUGUAGAGUUUCUGGAGUGCCAUGCCCUAGGAUAAGAGCAAGCAGCCUUUAAAGCUCCACAGUUAACUUUUAACAUCUGUCUGAUGCCAUUCAGUAUUAUUCUGAGAGUUUCAUUAUGCAAACCUGCAUCACACUUGCUGGGUAAAGGUAAAGUAGAAAGCAAAUCUUUAAUUCUUUCCACAUGAGUUGGUAAAGGAGAAAAAUGAAAUGAUGUAAUUUACCAAAACUCUGAUGUUUUAAUUUUUGGUAGUAGGAACAGCUGUGCCGUGCUGUUGUGCUAUGAAAUGAGAAUGCUGUCUGCCAGGCAGCACUCUUCACAUGUGCCAGUCCAGCAAUUGAUCUCAUUUAUGCUAUUCUGCACCCAGUGUCCCUUUCUCGGCUUUACUGAUGCUUAGCGAAUGGAGUAAGAGUUGAAUUUGCACCACUUCUGCAUCUCAAAUGUAACUUUCCACCUAUGUUUAAAAGUACAGAUCAUUUCUUCUGGAAAGCACUAUCAGUGCAAUUCACCCAGCCUAUCUUCCAUCAUUUACAAGCAUGUGUCUAGCAGAAAAUGAGUUCUGAAGAUCUAUUCCCAGAUUGAACUGUGGACACAGCAGUCUGCUAACAAUUGUUACCGCCCAUUCAGUUUUCCUUAUAGUUGUCAGUGGCUUUUACAUCAGCCCAUUUUCUCUAUUACCAGUGUCUGCUCUCCUUCUGUGGGAGGCAUUAGCAUAUUCAAAGCAUCUUCUUCUAUUGUUUUGUAAGAUGACCUUA
rnacentral:lncRNA from 1 species